GGCGGAGUAGCUCAGCUGGUUAGAGCAUGCGGUUCAUACCCGCAGGGUCGGGGGUUCGAGUCCCUCCUCCGCUACCA
rnacentral:tRNA from 1 species